rnacentral:rRNA from 1 species
GAUGAAUGCUGGCGGCGUGCCUAACACAUGCAAGUCGAGCGGUAAGGCCCUUUCGGGGGUACACGAGCGGCGGACGGCUGAGUAACGCGUGGGAACAUGCCCCAAAGUGAGGGAUAAGCUCCAGAAAUGGAGUCUAAUACCGCAUAUGAUCUUCGGAUUAAAGGAUUUAUCCGCUUUGGGAGUGGCCUGCGUACGAUUAG